rnacentral:ribozyme from 11 species
ACGCAAAGCAAAACAAAGAAAGAAAGAAGAAAGGGAAGAAAGGGAAGAAAGUACUUUAGCUUGCAACCAACUUGACU